GUAGGUGGCAAGCGUUGUCCGGAAUUAUUGGGCGUAAAGCGCGCGCAGGCGGUUCUUUAAGUCUGAUGUGAAAGCCCACGGCUCAACCGUGGAGGGUCAUUGGAGACUGGAGAACUUGAGUACAGAAGAGGAAAGCGGAAUUCCACGUGUAGCGGUGAAAUGCGUAGAGAUGUGGAGGAACACCAGUGGCGAAGGUGGCUUUCUGGUCUGUAACUGACGCUGAGGCGCGAAAGCGUGGGGAGCAAACAGGAUUAGAUACCCUGGUAGUCCACGCCGUAAACGAUGAGUGCUAAGUGUUAGGGGGUUUCCGCCCCCCUUAGUGCUGCAGCUAACGCAUUAAGCACUCCGCCUGGGAGUACGGCCGCAAGGCUA
rnacentral:rRNA from 1 species